rnacentral:lncRNA from 1 species
CCCAUACCUGGGCUUUUCUUGCAGAGAUAAUUGUGACAAAUCGUUGUGCACAGCACCCAAGUCACGUGACUCUCCUCUCAUAUCAAGGCUCUGCCAACUAGGGUAAUUGUGACAUACAGCUGGGCCUAGCCCCUAGGUUCUAUGACUCUUUUGAUGAUUCUGAGCCCUAUCUACAGAGGUCAUUGGGAAAUAUCUCUUGGCCCAUCUACUAGGUUCUGCCAAAACAAGUGAUUGCAACAUAUAAUUGGACCAGCAACUAGAUGAUGUGACUCUUCUCUUCUGCCUGAGCCCUGGAUAUACUGUGUAUUAUGACACAUGGCUGAGUCCAACAUCAAGGUGAUGUGACUGACCACUUCUGCCUGGGCCAUGCCGAAAAAAGGAGAUUGUGACAUAUCACUGCAUUCAAUACCUAGAUGAUGCUCCAUGACAAGUGGCACCAACAACAGGGACUUCAAGGACGUGACGAAGAAGGUCUGCUAGAGCAGAGGAAGUGAAAUUUACCAGAUGAACCGGGACCCCAGGACGAGUCUGUCAGCAGGGAAUA